rnacentral:tRNA from 1 species
GGGAUUGUGGCUCAGUGGUAGAGCGCUCACCUCACACAUGCGAGACCCUGGGUUCAAUCCUCAGUACCA